rnacentral:lncRNA from 1 species
GAGACUGUGUGAAAGAGAAACAACCUAGUCCCUCCUCAUCUUUUGGAGCCAUGAUGCUCACUUAGGAAUUACAGGAAAAGAAUGGCUUGGCUUGGCCAGGUCAUGUGAUCUGCCUAACGUGUUUCAUUCCUUCAAACACAGACUGAGAAAAAAGGGAGUUUCAUCAUUUAAAUACCAUCAAUGGGAACGGUCUCAUUUUGCCUAAGAUGGGAGCUAAUCUAGUUGGGUAGUAUUGCAUUGUAGUAACCUUUUGAGUUGUGCUUGGUUACUAAAAGAGUGGCAGAUACAUCAGCCUAUGGGAUUACACUACCAAAAGCCAUAGUGCCACAGACCUCAAUCGCUCACUGGCAAACUGAAUUACCCUGGACCUUCCUUCUACUUCAAGUGAUAUGUGUUCCAAACUGAUAUGUGUCCCAGAUGAAAUAGAGACUGAUCUAAUCAAAAAAAAAAAAAAAAAAAAAGGUUUGGCAGGGAAGCAGUAGCAAAAUCAUUUCUCAGUGACUGUCCUUUACCCAUGUGUGCACUUGGGACACCUGGGGACACUAGCAGACUACCUAAGACAUCUUUCCUCAUGAAUGAAGGGUAGAAGAGUUCCCCUCUAAGCGUUGGAGUCAAGUCUUUACUCCCUUCCAGAAAAUAUGUCAAGGAGAAAAUAGAAUUAUAGAUGGCACAUGACUGUCUGGCUCUUGUCUUAAGAAUGCUGUGUGGAAUUAUGUGCCUUACGCAAAACCUGAAACUUAGAAGCCAAGUUUUGUGCAGCGGAAGGGAGCACUGAGCUCUGUGGUGGCUCCGCGAAGUGACUUAGCCUGGGUUUUGCAUUGCCUUGUCUGGAUCUAUGCCUUUAUCGUUACUUAACAGAUUUGGGGCUUUUCUUUCUUUACCGCUAAGCAUGGGCAUGUGUGCAAUUAUGAGGUGAACUUUCUAAGUAGUAAGCCCUUGCCACAAAGUAGACGUUACACAAAGGCACAGAGCCCAGGGAUAGUAAUCUUGCCUGAGCUGCUCGCACAGGCUUCUUAUUCCAUGGCUUUGUCGCAGGCUUUUCUCUUUCUGUGCCAUCACCUUUGAGAAACAUGAUUGCACCUUCUCCAACUCUGCCUUUUUAACAGCUUCAGUUGAGUUGGCAAGACUUUCCCAGCUCUGAAUAUAGCCAUUUCCCGACUCCGGCCUCUGCGAGACUGAUUUCAAAUCUGUGAUCUUCUGUUCAGCGUACACAUCAGCAAAGUGAGAAGUUGGGUGCUAAAUAUAGGCUCUAUUAACUUUACUUUUAGAUGUGCUGCCUUCAAAGAGUGCCUAUUCUGAGCAACGUAAACGUUAUUCCUACAUAUGUAUGUACACACGGUACCCGGACUCACACUGUUCGGGCUUCACAAACACCAUCAGCAGGGGUAGGUGCUGAGAUAAGGAAGCAUCGCCAAAUUGAAGAGGGUGGCUCAUUUCCAAUCUCCCCUUCAGUGGCUACCAUGAAAUGGGCUAAAACAAGAGUCUCCUGCACUUCCUGCUGACACAGCCACUUUGCAUUUAUAUCCCAGGAAUAGUGGCAAAUUGCUGAGGAACCCGUAUUUCAUGGAAAUAAUACAAUCAUGAACAUUUCAUCAGGAGAGGGAAAGGCAAUUAAUAUGUGUCAUGUGUGUUUUAAAAACUAAGUAUUGCUAAGUUUUGAGUGUCAGCAGGUUUCUUUUAUCUUACAGGCUAACAUAGAGAAAACUAACGUCUUGGCUAUAGGGAGUGUAAGCUCAGGGGGCCAGGCAUCCCUGCCAGCUCCUUGAAGCAUUUUUACUCCAGCUCCUAAGAAUACCAGUCCAUGCUAUUUGAGGGCUUUUGUUCCUGGAGCUCUCUCUGUCAGCGACAGGAACUCUAGGUAUUUUUGAGGAGGCAGCAGCAUAGCCUGGGAGGGUGAGUGGUUACCCAGCAGUCGUGCUCGGAGGUGAGCCAGGUAGAUGUGCUGAGGUACAUGGAGAUACCGUAUGAUCGUACAAGGGUUGAACGGAGGACAUGAUUCCAAAAAAGAUUGUUCUCAAUGUGUCGUCUGACUCAACCAGCUGGCAGAUUACACUUGCCAAGUCGCUUCCUUUCCUUCUAAGUCAUUUGGCUCCAUAUUCCCUUGAAUAUGCCUGUGAGGAAAGUAAGAUGUGUCGCCCCAUCCACUUAGCCUUCCUGAAAGGACAUUAGUGAUGCCCUAGUGGUCACCAAGCUACCAUGAAAUGCCACCACUCCUACUCAGUUGUACCAAAUGCAAGUAGAGGGGACAAACUGUGGGAGACAGAUUUAGUGCCAUCGUGGUUGUCUGCCACUCUGCCCAGUAUGAUCCCAGCAACCCACGAGAUCUGAAGGAACAGGACUGGUGAGUAGCUUUAGGGCUAUGGCCGUACUUCUUUAGGAACGUCAUGAUUGGAGUCAGGUUGAUUUUUUUUUUUUCUUUUUAGAGGUGGGCAGUACUUUUUCCCAUUUCUCCUGUUACCUAUCUUUUGAUCUCUAUCUAAUCUCAACACUAAUAAUUUUCUGCUGUUGACCUGAUCAGAUUUCAGUGCUAGAAAAGAAUUCUAAAAUCUCUUGUGUGCUGUCCUCAAGUCUUUGGGAUACACAGGUACUCCUCCUUGGGAACAAACAAACUGAGACAGACACAGUGUGGCCUUGCUCUGAGUUUCAGUCUGGUGACUUGUGGCCAUGAGAGAGAGCUUGAUAUGAAAGCUAAGUCAUGUUUAAUGGGACAGGGUAAGGACAGGAGAGAAAAGCUGUUAGGCUUUCCCUGUGCUAAACCUAUCUCCUGGGAGCAGGCACUUCCUCCUAGCUAGCCACCAUCACAGCCUCACCAGCAGCAGCCUCAAGACUCAGUAACAUUUCCAACUUAGGAAAAGCUACACAGACGCAUAGAGGAUAUGACAUUGUUCAUCUGCAUGAUCCUGACAGAGCCUUGGUAUUUUCACAGUGUAAGCAAAUUGCAUAUCUUUGCUGUCUCAUAAACCAUCGCUGACAUCCCCACGGGAGCACACAUAAUCCUUUCUGAAAAUCAGAAGUUGUGUUACAAGAAAGUGGUUUGGGUAAUUUCUUUUGUAUUUACACAUUAUUCAAUUAUAUUAAAACAUGAUUUUAUUUACAUUCUAUCAGUUUUGAUUGUGUUUCCCCAGUGCUCAAUGAGAAUAAAUAUGAAAAUCACAGUUUUUUCUGUAAAAGAAUUACUUUAUAUUUAAAAAUCCAAUAAACUUCUCAUUCC